rnacentral:lncRNA from 1 species
AUGUUUCUACGGAAAAUAAGCUUCAUCUCAGUCAAUCUGUUCGUCCCAACUUUGGGCAGCAGGUGUGGGGGCGGGACCAAGGUCUGCGCCGUAAUCCAAACAGGCAGUCCCACCCAGGGCCACCCCAAGGCUAGAUGCUCCGACGCGACUCGAGCAGGCCACACUGUCUUUCGGACAAAGCGACGCGGUCCUCACAGGCGGGAAGGAGAGUGCGUCCCGGUCGGGAAGGACGCCGCCAGUGAGCUGCCUGCCCACGUGACGCCCGCGGCGACCUUGGGGGUCACCCUUGCGGACGCACCGCCCUCUCCCUCACAUCCGCCGCCGCGCCCGCCCCUCACUCUACGACCGCCAAUGGCGCGUCGCUCCGCGCCCCGCGCGACCUCGGAGCGCGCUCGUACCCGCCAAUCUCCGCCCGCCGGGCGGGCCCCACGGCGCCAUUGGCUACCACGGCCAUCUAUCAGGUCCCGUCCCUCCUACCACCCUCCGUCAGCCCCACUCCAUCCAGCUCCACUCCCCUGUCACCGCGGCACCCGCAGCACCAAGGGCGCGGCGGCCUCGCCCUUUCCCGCUAUCUCCAACCCCGGGCCGCCAAGCGCCGCGCUACCCGGCACUGGGACGGGCGCAGCGACAGCGCAAGGUUACCUGUCUCCGGCUCAGCUCCACCCGAAUGAGGCGCCGACACCCCACUCCGGGGCUCUAAACUCUCGGCCCCGCCCUGGCGUAUGGCGUCAACACGUAGCCCUCCCCUGGAGAAGAAGGCCCUCCCCUCUUACAGUGAACCGAUUCGUGACGUCACAGAGGCGCGCCGGACGUCACCGCGCCGACUACGCAGUUGCGGGAGCUUGGGCCGGCGGGAGCCCAGCUGUUUGCUCCGCCAGAGCGAUGAGUUUGAGUCUAUGGACUUCCAGCGGCUUCUACGAUCAUAAACUGUCUUGAAUGUUCUCCUGAAUAUAUUUUCCCAAGAAGAUAACUACUUAAAGACAAGGAUUUUGUCAUGUGGCACACAGCAGCAGAUAUUGGGGUGACGAGGAACAGCGAUCCAUCAAGCACGAUAGUCCCAUAGAGAACACAGAUAUCUCAAUUGGGCCAGUAUUCAGACCAAGGCUAUGCCACCCACAGGUGGGUAUGAUAUAGACUUAAAGUGACUUAUAAAAGGGAAAAGUCAAAGAGGUGUUUUUUUGUGUUUUAAAUGGGGAGUAUAGGCCGGGCGUGGUGGCUCAUACCUGUAAUCCCAGCACUUUGGGAGGCGGAGACGGGCGGAUCACCUAAGGUCGGG